CGUAGGGUGCGAGCGUUAAUCGGAAUUACUGGGCGCAAAGCGUGCGCAGGCGGUUUGUUAAGAUAGGCGUGAAAUCCCCGGGCUCAACCUGGGAACUGCGCUUAUGACUGGCAAGCUAGAGUACGGCAGAGGGGGGUGGAAUUCCACGUGUAGCAGUGAAAUGCGUAGAGAUGUGGAGGAACACCAAUGGCGAAGGCAGCCCCCUGGGUCGAUACUGACGCUCAUGCACGAAAGCGUGGGUAGCAAACAGGAUUAGAUACCCUGGUAGUCCACGCCCUAAACGAUGUCAACUAGGUGUUGGGAGGGUAAAACCUUUUAGUACCGGAGCUAACGCGUGAAGUUGACCGCCUGGGGAGUACGGCCGCAAGGUUA
rnacentral:rRNA from 1 species